CUCAACAACAAAACUCUGUAUUUAUUGUAUCAUCAGAAGAAAUAAAACAAAAUUGAACAACACUCAGCACAUCAAUGGAGUGAUUUCCCAUCGGUUUCAGCAGACGACGAUGGCGGAGAACUGAAGUAACGACGGAGCUGCUUAGUCAAAAUUGCAUCCGCAGGAUUGCAAAACCACAUCCAUGGCUCCGGCUACAUCCUCGCAGGAGUAGACGACGAUGGCCGAGAAUUGAAAUUGCCUAAAUAAGUGCGGAGCUGCUUAAUCACCACUGCAUCCGCUGGACUGCAAAACCACAUCCACGGCUCCGGCAUUACUGUUGAAUACCAGCUUUUUUUGGGUUGCUGCAGACUACUCGCAGUAGCAGAAAUUGACUCAGCACCGCAGCAAAGAGAAUCAGCGAAUCGAUUGGUCAGUUUAACCGAAAAAGAACGAUUAUUCAAUUUUCUGAUGUGCUAUGUCCUGCUUCCAAUCCUCCGUCGUCGCAUUGCGGACUGUUUACCCCAACGCCGUCGUCUGGUCGGAAGAGAAUUUGGUGGCGGUGGCGUGUGUCACCUCUGUUAUAAUUCUGAAUCCUCAUAAUCCUAAAGUUCGAGGUGUGAUUACCGUUCCAUCUAGCAAGCGCUUCCCCACUGGGAAGAUUGUUGUUGAUGGCGGAGGUGCUGAUUUGCUAAAUGGGUGCAUGCUUCCUUAUCACUUAUGAAGGGAAAUUCGUCCUUGUGUUCGGUCAAUUUCUUGGUCUCCUGCAGGUCUCGCCAACUAUGCUAGGUUGUGAAUAUAUCUGAAGUGUUACAUAAUUACUACAAGAGCACCAAUUUAGGGGAGUGUCAAAUUGUACCCUUGGAAGGUUCUGAUGUUAUACCAAUACAAGAUACUGCAAAUAAGGAUACACGUUUGAGAAAGUGUGUCAACCGUAGAAGACAAAAAACAGCUAAUGUAGUAUCAGAAGACCAUGAAAAUCUGGGUGAGAAGAACAAUUGGAAAAUUGUUUCCUCCUCUUUCUAUGAAGGGAACCAUCCGGAGGAAGUGACCGAAGACUGUCUACCAUUAAUAUCUGCACAGCAAUAUGCUUCUCGCAAUGAAAUGCUACUGUCACUUAUUAUUGCUUGGUCUCCAAUUCUGGAGACAUCUGGAGACGAUGUGGCUUUUCCUUCUAGGCUGCUCAAUUCUUGCUGUUGGUGGAAAGUGCGGUAAAAUUUUAUUGUGGAGAGUUCGAGCACCUGAGUACUAUUCUACUGAUAAUGCUGGGCACUCGAGUGAGGUUCGACUUGUUGGCCUUGAGAAGACACAUGAUAGCUGGAUUACAGCAAUUAGUUGGGUUGGAUAUGGGUCUAAUGAUUCAAAGACCCAGUUUGCAUUGGAUACUGAGAGUUCUGAUGGUUGGUGCGUAAUUUUAUAUUACCUUACGGCUGACCUCUAAAAUGAGUAGAAUUUUGAUUGCUCUUAAAUAACCACCACUGUGAAGAUCUGGCUGGUAAAUGGUGAAAAUUUACUCAAGGCAUCUGAAGUUAUCGAUGAUUCAUUAUCAUUGUUGAGGGAGGUUGCUACUGUUGAUUCUUCAAUGAUAUAUGUACUUUCACUUACUGUGCCCACACGAUCACCAUCAAAAUUGUUCUUGGCUAUUGGCAAAAGUUCUGGAUCCUAUGAAUUGUGUACCCUUGACACAUCUACUGGCGAAUUUGACAAUGUUGGCUGUUAUAAUGCACAUGACAGCUAGGUUUCUGGUUUAGCUUGGGCUUUUGAUGGACGUUUUUGUACAGCUGUAGUCGGGGUGGGCUGAUAUUAUCGAAACACUAGGACUCGAAUAAAGAAGAUAGAACUUUCUCACGGAGAAGGAGCUGAAGAACUCACGGAGGAGAACUUCAUGAGGAAAAAUCGUUCCUCUCUCAAAUAUGAGUGGACGAAAAUUUCAUAAUGAAAUUAAAUUAAUUUAUGUAUCUUUUAUUCUCCUAUUUAUAAUAGUUCAUAUUGGGCCCAGACAGG